UUGAACAGGUGCAGAGAAUAAGCAACCCCACAGAACAGGAGGUAGUAACACUGGGGAGGUGGCAAUGAACAGCAGUACUUCUGCAAGAAUCCAGAUCUAUUGCCUUGUACCUGAAAUGUGUACCUGAGUAACCACAACAACUGACGUUCAGAAGGCUUACAUCAAACCCUGAGCUGAACAACAAAUAUAAAAAUCCCUUUUGAUAAACAUCUAACUGGUUGAUGGUGGUGCUUUAUAAAGAAGGAGAGUUUACACACAAGCCUUAUAAAAACAGAACGUGAAAUAUUGAGGAAUUGGUGCUGUCUGAGACCCCUGAGGAGAUACCAGAUAUUCUAGGAAGCUAACAGAGUGCUCAGAGCAAGUCAGUUGCAUCUUUUUUCCUCUUUUAACUCAAAAAUAUUCACCUCAGCCUACCAUUAAGCAAAUAAGGGUAAGAAUGGAAGAAUGAAAACCUUCAUUCUAGACAGGAAUGUAUCCAGAAAAACAAACAAGCUACGUGAUGACAUCUUCUACUUAACCUCUUACUGUUGUGUGAAAGUGCAGAAAAGGAAGUGACACGGAAGUAAGGAAAGCAAGUGACUGAGCAAACGACAGUGAUUAGGAUGUUUUGGCAGAAGCUGGGAGUCCUGGAUUUUAGGAAAUCUUCAGCUAAUAUUAUACAAAGUGAUGACAGUCACAAACAACAGUGGUCACACUGAAUAUGGUCAGCUACAACCCACAAUUUCAACCUAGCUCAUCAGUUGGAGCACAGUAUACCUGAACCACCUCCCAAAGAAUGCAGCUGUCCAGUGGUUUAAGCCAGACAUACUUGAAGCUGCCAUCUCCUGUGUCUUCUGACCUUUCUGGAAAUAUAUAUACAUUUUCACCUGGCUGGCUUGGUUCUUAAAUGAUACAGAUUCAGAAUUUAAAUACUCUUUAAAAAAAAAAAAAAAAAAAGCUUUUCAGCACUGAAAGACUUGCGUCUUGUUGAAGGGGAUGGAUGAUUUACUGCCCCGGUUGUUAAGUUACCAGAAGACAAUGAAUUAGAAAAGUAGCUAUAAAAACUCAACUCUAUUAAGUUAUUUAAGUGAAAGACUCUAAUGUAAGACCCAAUCUCUUAAAAUGUUCCUUAAUAUUAAAUUAUUUUCAAGCAUUCUUACAAAGGGAACCAGUAAUUUUUUAGGAAAUUUACUCUGGUAGUUCUCUAGUUCUCUUCAUUUCACCAGCACUUGAGGGGAAAAAAAAUAAAAGUCUUUUAUAAUCCUUCAGAGCUUUGCUCUUAUUUAAUAAUCAGCAUUAUUUAUUUAUUUAUUUAAAUACACUCUCAAGCACGAAAAAGGGCCAAUUGUCUGCUUAUUCAGUGGAUUUAUAAGCAUACACCUGCCUUUCACGGUUCAGUACACCACCUUCAAUAAACAGCUGCCAUGCAAAGAUUCUCAGAAAUAACUCCUGAUUUUUUCCUCUUUGCAAAAAUUUCCUACCUUAGAAAUCUCUGAGGCCACAUCUUGUCUUGGGAUCCCUCCCAAAAAAACAGAGUGGUCUGGGAAAACUUUCAGGUAUGAAGCAGCAUCCUCUCUGCAGGCCUCAUCAACAGCCAUUAAAGUUGAUGGAGAAAGCUCCCACUGAUUUGAGCAGGAGUUGGUUUGAAACCUUUAAUUGAGUAUAUAAUUUAAUCAGAGCAAAAAGCUGUUCCGUGGGGUCUCUUGACUAAGUGUAGAUAUUAUUGUACUUAAAUAAAUAACC